rnacentral:lncRNA from 1 species
GUUGCCUUUGUUGGACAGGGGGAGAAGGCAGGGCACAAGGAGGGAGCCUGAGGGUUCUGCUCCCCACCGCAGCACCUCGCCACUCCCAUGGUAAUGACAAGAGCGGCUGGCGCUGUGCUUUUGCACGUGACCAUCUGAUACUCUGCAAUACAAAGACAUGGAACACAUGUACUACUGUGAGAUGAACCUUGGAACAGAGUCUGACAUAAAAGAUGCUGUUGUCUGAUUCUACUGGAGCAGAGAUCCAAGCCAGGUUCUGUGGCGCCCAGGAUUGGGCUCUUGAAGUCUCAGGACCUGCCUAGCUUUGAUCCCAUGACGCUGACCCUUGGCAUCUUCCUGAUGAAAACUGUUCCCGAAUCUGGCUCUCGCCUCCAGAUUCUGGUUCUUGGGAACCCGGUCCCAGUGAUGUGAGCUGCACAUCGCCUCUGCCUUCUCUAGGCAUCAAGGCAGGGAAGGCUGCUGAGAAGUGGAAAACAGAGGGAGGUAAACCUACCUUGUUCACUCUUGACACCCCAUCCCUCUGCUCCUGGUGCCUCUGGAGACCUCUUCAGACACCAAAGGCCUGCAAUCCUUUCUCCAGAGCUGUUUCAUACCCACACUGUACCUUGAAUAAAUACACUAAUAAAAU